rnacentral:rRNA from 1 species
UUGGAGGGCAAGUCUGGUGCCAGCAGCCGCGGUAAUUCCAGCUCCAAUAGCGUAUAUUAAAGUUGUUGCAGUUAAAAAGCUCGUAGUUGAAUUUCGGGGUUAGUAGAUUGGUCAUGCCAUCGGUAUGCACUGGUCUCACUGAUUCCUCCUUCCUGAUGAGCCGUAAUGCCAUUAAUUUGGUGUUGCGGGGAAUUUGGACUGUUACUUUGAAAAAAUUAGAGUGUUUAAAGCAAGCUAACGCUUGAAUACAUUAGCAUGGAAUAAUGAAAUAGGACGUUCGAUCCUAUUUUGUUGGUUUCUAGGAUUGACGUAAUGAUUAAUAGGGAUAGUUGGGGGCAUUAGUAUUCAAUUGUCAGAGGUGAAAUUCUUGGAUUUAUUGAAAACUAACUACUGCGAAAGCAUUUGCCAAGGAUGUUUUCAUUAAUCAAGAACGAAAGUUAGGGGAUCGAAGACGAUCAGAUACCGUCGUAGUCUUAACCAUAAACUAUGCCGACUAGGGAUCGGAUGAUGUUAAUUUUUUAAUGACUCAUUCGGCGCCUUACGGGAAAC